rnacentral:misc_RNA from 1 species
CAGAGUUGCAAAAACUCCCACAAAACCAUCGCGAAUCUUACCCGUACGGUUGCCUCGGCGCUGGCGGUCCGGAAGGCCCUCGGGCCCCCCGGAUCCUCGGGUCUCCCGCUCGCGGGAGGCUGCCCGCCGGAGUGCCGAAACCAAACUCUUGAUAUUUUAUGUCUCUCUGAGUAAACUUUUAAAUAAGUCAA